CCUGGUGGCCCAAAGGGUAAAAGCGUCUGCCUGCAAUGCAGGAGACCUGGGUUCGAUCCCUGGGUCAGGA
rnacentral:tRNA from 1 species